AAUCCGUGCGGGUAAACCCAUACGGGUCCAUUCCAAACCUACUAGCCCCGUUUUAUUAGCGUCUCUCCGAAGCCAUCCGCGUUCUCCCGCCAUGAGAACAGAUCAAGCAAGUUACGGAAGCUACGGAAGUUCCUCCUCCCCGUUCUCCCCAUCUCUUCCUCUCAUCCGGCUGCCGAAGCACUCCUUCUUCACUCCUACGUCGACGUCGUCUUCGGUCCCCUAAACACCCACGUCGGGUCUCGCUCCUUCCGACCUACCUCCUCUUUAGCUCCGUAUUCCUCACCCCACCACCCCGGGCUGCAUACAAUUUCUCUUUCCUCCUCGCCUCCGACAGUCUCCUGGCGCCGGGCUUGAUCCAGCCAGAGCAGGCCACGGUGUACGCAAUCAAUUUUGGGCUCGAGACCCGGGUGUCCGUUUCCAUUGUAAUGAUCCUUAUGUAUAGGAGCUGUGGGUCAGUCCACGAAGCGUAUAUGGUGCCUGACGCGAGAGCUGUUCUCAGAGAACUUGUUGCAUCGGUUGGCAUGGGCAUAUGAUAAUAUAGACCGCGCUAGCGAGUUGUUCGACAAAAUGCUGCAGAAGGAUGCUGUAUCAUGGAGUGGCAGAUGAUGUGCUGUGAAUUGCAUGCAUGUCUUCAACGUGGUAGAAGAUCAAGGAUUGAAGUCACAUCUUCAUAUUUGAGAUAUCGAGUGAAAGAGAACAGAUUUCUGUACCUGCUGUGAUAGGAACAACAGGGCGAAGCUUUUGUACCAUUGCACCCGGAAUAGGACAAACCGAAAAAGAAGUGCUGUGUCACCUGUCCACAGGUUUCGCCAAGGAUUGUUCUUAAAGGUAAACGAGAACAACACGUUUCCUUGUAUUAUAUGUUCAUCGAAUGAAUGGUGGUUAAGUAAAGAUUGGAUUUGUGACAAUCUUUACAGAAGGUACUGCUGCAGGAUUUGCAGAAUGAUGCAUCUGCAUGACCUUAGUAGUAUGAAAGGUCAUUGGGAACUUAGCCGAAAACAUGUUAAACCUACCCCCUACCCCCUAACGACCAGCCACCACCGUGGUGGAGAAUUACUUUAUUGUAUAGCAGCCAGCAUAAACUAAAGGGGUGUUUAUAAUGCAAGAGGAUAUGUGAAUUCUUUUAGGUUC